AUGUGUGAACAAAGGCUAUGCGACAACAUCGAUGUGCACACAGUUGCCACCACACUUGCCUUAGCGGAGCAGCACCAAUGCGUGCAACUCAAGCAAGCAUGCCUUGGAUUCAUGUCCUCUCAUGGUGUGCUCAGUGACAUCCAGGAGACUGAUGGAUUCAAGCAUCUCAUAUCCAGCUGCCCUUUGGUUGUAGGGGACAUCAUAAAUAACAUCGCCGUCGCUAGUGAUGGUAGGGCUGCCAAAAGGGCUCAAGUCAAGCCACCCACAGCGACUCGUCUUCUAACUACACCGACGAUUGACUCCAAAAUAAAUGUAUAG
rnacentral:rRNA from 1 species